rnacentral:rRNA from 1 species
UACAGAGGGUGCGAGCGUUGUCCGGAAUCACUGGGCGUAAAGGGCUCGUAGGCGGCCAACUAAGUCACACGUGAAAUCCCCAGGCUUAACCUGGGAACUGCGUGUGAUACUGGAUGGCUUGAAUCCGGGAGAGGGAUGCGGAAUUCCAGGUGUAGCGGUGAAAUGCGUAGAUAUCUGGAGGAACACCGGUGGCGAAGGCGGCAUCCUGGACCGGUAUUGACGCUGAUGAGCGAAAGCCAGGGGAGCAAACGGG